UACGUAGGGCGCAAGCGUUAUCCGGAAUUAUUGGGCGUAAAGAGCUCGUAGGCGGUUUGUCGCGUCGGGAGUGAAAACUCAGGGCUUAACCCUGAGCCUGCUUCCGAUACGGGCAGACUAGAGGUAUGCAGGGGGAGAAUGGAAUUCCUGGUGUAGCGGUGAAAUGCGCAGAUAUCAGGAGGAACACCAAUUGCGAAGGCAGCUCGCUGGGACGUUACUGACGCUGAGACGCGAAAGCGUGGGGAGCAAACAGG
rnacentral:rRNA from 1 species